AGUCGCCAGCUUGUUGGUUUACCCUAUGCGGUGUUUUGUCAGCAGUUGGGGCCAUGUCAUGCAAUUGCAGUCCUCACCUUCGGGAAUAAGAGUUCUGCAACAAAAUUAUGGUUCUGCAAUUGGUCUUGCGAGCGGGAAAGAGAAAUACAACUCAUCUACCAAUCCAUUUGUUGCCGUGGAAUUCGACACCUAUCAUAAUAUAUGGGAUCAAGAUAAUGAUCAUGCGGGUAUAAAUAUCAACUCUGUAAGGUCCAUGGACAGCAAGACAUGCAGGAGCUUUAUUAUAAAAUUGAUCUUAGAGAUCACCUGUAAGAGUGGGUUAAUGUUGGCUUCGCUGCUGCAACAGGGAGGUUCUCUGAAUUUCACCUUCUUCACUCUUGGCACUUCAGCUCUAAUUUGCAAAUCAACACUCCUUCACCUCCAGCAACUGCCAUGCCUAGCAUCAGUCCCGGUGAAAGAGCUAACUGCAAAAAAUGGCAUUACAUUGGUGGUGCUGCUCUAUUGGUGGUUGUUUUAAUUUUGUUUCUUUGCAUCUGCAAGAAUAGAAAUGGAAGAAGAUUUCAUAUCAAGAAUUGGUUCUUCCAACGGAUUAAUAACUUGAAGAGGGAAGAGAGAUCAGCAGCUGAUUCUUCGAGGGAUGCUGAAUUUCAAAAGCUUGCCGGUGCUCAGAGGAUUGCAUAUUCAGAAUUGGCUCAUGCCACCAAUAACUUUGCAGCAGAAAGGAAGCUUGGGGAGGGAGUAUCUGGUGUUGUAUAUAGAGGCUCUUUGAAUGGUGAGGAUAUUGCGGUUAAAAAGUUUAAAAGAAAUUCAGGGCAGGAAAUUAUAGAUUAUGAAUCUGAAGCCAAGGUAAUUAGCCAGUUGAGGCAUAGACAUUUGGUGAAACUUAUUGGCUGGUGUCACGAAAAUGAAGAAUACUUGCUUGCUUAUGAGUUCAUACCUAAUGGUACUCUUGAAUCACAUCUUUUCAAUAGGCCAAACAUCUUAUCAUGCGAAAACAGAUACAAGAUCUGUAGAGAAAUAGCCUCUUCUAUACAUUACUUACAUGAAGAAUAUGAACAAUGCGUGUUGCAUAGAGAUGUUAAGCUAAGCAACAUAAUGUUGACAUCAAAUCUAGAAGCAAAAUUGGGAGACUUUGGUUUGGCCAGAUUUGAUGGAGAUGAAAGUGGCUCAAGAAUAACGGCACUUGCCGGCACCUUAGGAUAUAUGGCUCCUGAAUAUUUCCAAACGGGCACCGCCACCAAGGGGUCGGAUGUCUACAGCUUUGGAGUUGUGGACUUGGAGAUUGCUUGCAGAAAAAGGCCGAUCAUACCGCUUACUGACGGAAGACAGGUUCCCAUAAGAGAAUGGGUUUCAGAAUUGAAACAAAAGGGGCGGCUUCUGGAAGCAGCUGAUGAUCGUCUACGAAGAAACUUCGAUGAGGACCAAAUGAGACGGUUGUUGGAUGUGGGUCUCAGAUGUGCAAAUCCAGACUCCGAUUCUCGACCAUCAAUAAGAGAAGCACUUGAAUCGCUGCCAGCCUUGUCGUCUACUUUAUUCUGGUCUGCACUUUCGGACAUGAUCCAUAAUUUUACUACGACAUUUGCAGGAAGCCAAAGCAGAAAUCCAGGUCGUGAUGAUUCAUCCCAGUUUGCUUCUUCAGCCUCCCUUGCCCGCUAUGGUUUUUGAAUCCUGUGAUUGUCAGCAUGAUGAGGAGCAAAGGAGACAGUUGUUGGGUGUGGGUCUCAUAUAUGUAAAUCCAAACUCCGCUUCUCAACCAUGAAUAAAGGAAGCACUUGAUUACUGCCGCCCUUGCUGUCUACUUUAUUCUGGUCUGUACUUUCAGACAUGAUCCUUUAUUUUACUUCAUGGUUUGAGCCAAAGCAGAAAUCCAGAUAGGAAGGGAGAGUUAUGGAGAAUGUACAAGAAACAGAAAUGGAGAAGCUUGAGAGAGCCUACAAGCAUCUUAUCAUGUGAAAACAGGAUAUAUGGCUCCUGAAUAUCUUCAAACAGGCAGAGCCACCAAGGAGUCAGAUGUCUUCACUUCAGCUUCGGAGUUGUAGCCUUGGAGAUUGCUUCCAGAAAAAGGCCGAUGGCAAACACUUACUGUGGAAGAGAGGUUGAAAUAAGAGAAUGGGUUUCAGAAUUUGAAUAAAACGGGUGAAAACUUCUUGAAUCAGCUGAUGAUCAUCUACGAAGAAACUUCGAUGAGGAACAAAUGAGACGGUUGUUGGAUGUGGGUCUCAGCUGUGCAAAUCCAGACUCUGCUUCUUGACCAUCAAUAAGCGAAGCACUUGAAUCGCUGCCACCCAUGCCGUCUACUUUACUCUGGUCUGUACUUUCAGACAGGAUCCAUUAUUUUACUGCAACAUUUGGAGGAAGCCAAAUGCAUAAAUCCAGGUCGUCAUGAUUCGUCCACAAUCAUCCUUGGAUAAGUAUAUUGUUCUGAUCAUGAAUAGGGCUGCCAUUUAUGAAUCACCGCAAGAAGUUUUUAUUUCAGUUUUUAUGGAUCUAACUCUUAUGUUGACAAGAAAGAUAUUGCCACAUAUGUUGGAUUGUUGCUUACUCGACUUUAUUCAACCCAUACAAUCUUCACGUACCCCUCAGUCUAUGGUGAGUUUUGUAGUUGGUGGUACUAUUUAUGAUGUUAUGUUAUGUUUUUGGAUCUUCUUUCU